UUCGUUGAACAAAGCCUAUACAAAAGUGUAAAGAAAGCAGCGGCCAUUGCCCUAAUUGAGAAAAGUUCACUCCGUUCAAUUGGCGAAGGAAAACGUACAAUACAGAAGAUGACGAAGUCCUCCAAUGGCUCCUGACAUGCGUAGGAGGAAUCCUCUAAAAAUCAAAAGGAGAAAAGUCCAAAAGAAAAGCUAAGCUGAAGGUCACAAUUGCGCCUGACAUGCCAAAAGAAAAAGCUACUAUAAAGCUAGCCAGGAAAAGUCAACCAAGAACUAAGCUAAGUUUUCUUUUCUCCUGCCAUGCCCGCAGGAAACUUUCUAAUCAAAAGCCAAGGGAAGAAAAGUCAAAGAUCAAGCUCCCCAAGGAUCGUCCCCUUCUCUGCUAUCUUUUUUUGGUUUUUAUCUCCUGCUUCUCCCCAUACCUCCUGCGGCAGCUCUCCAGCCAGGAAAGGAACCCUUCGGAGGGCCAAAAAUGACCGAAAAGGGCUUGUGUCCCUUUUUCCAAAAAUACCCUUGCAAGCUUUCUAUUCUAUUUCUUUCCCGAUGACUGUCAAAAUAGCAGUGAUUGUGGUAUUCUUGAUCCACUCCCUGAAAUAAGUGCAAAUUACGAAAAGUGAGUAGAAUCCAACAAUUAGUUCACAUCGGGUCAGGUAAUAGGGGAAAUUAAUAAUAAAAUAAAUAAUAAAAUUGCAACCUAUCAAUUAGUGUAUUGACUUUCACAAUAACAUGUGUAAGUAAAUAAGUUUUUAUUUUGAUUUGAAAUAAAUUAUAAGUUUGUAACUAAUAUAACUUAUCACUAAUUAUUGUAAUUUGUAGGGGUGAGCAAAUUCGGUUCUUACCGAAUUCAUGACCGAUUUCAAAUUCAAUUCGGUAAUUUGAAAUCGGGUAUUUGGUAAUUUGGUAUAAAUUCGGUAUAUGCCGAAUUCACCGAAUUCUAAUAUGGUAUGAAAUAGGUAAUGAGAUUAUGAAUUUGGUAAUAACCGAUUUCGCAUUCAAAUUCGGUAAUUGAAAUCGGGUACCGCAUUACCGCAUUCGAAUUACCAAAUUGAUAUAUAAAAUUAUAUAAUAUAUAGAUAAAUGCUAUUUAGUAUUAGUAUAUACUACUAAUACUUUAUUAUAUUAUAUAGGUAAAUGCUAUUAAUAAUAAUUAGUAUAUGGUAUUAUCAUCAUAUCAUGUACUUAUAAUAAUAAUAAUAUAUAAUAAUGUACAAUAUAUUCUUUUAGUAUUUGUUAAUUUUUAUAUGACUAUAAUAAUACAAAUAUAUAGUAAUACAUAACAAUAUAAGAUAACUAUAAUACUUAUUAUUUUAUACAUGAGUAACAUGACUAGAAUUAGAUAAUAAUUAAUACAUAUAUGUAUAAUACUAAAUAUUAAACAAUAAACAUAAUUCAUAAUUAGAAUUUAGAUAUUGGUAAUUUGAUAUAUUAUUCAUGUUUGAAUUAUUAAAUAUUUGAAUGCGUAAUCUGUAACUUGCAAGUAUUAGUGUGUACUCUACAUAUUUAACAUAAAAAUUCAUAUUAUCUACUAAUCUUAAUUCUUAAGGCUUUAGCCUUUAAGUAUAGAUAAGACAACUAAGCAGUUAGCAAUGUAAAUGAAUGCAUAUGAAUUGCAAAUCAAUGUAUUAGUGUAUUGACUUUCACAAUAACAUAUGUAAGUAAAUAAGUUUUAUUUUGAUUUGAAAUAAAUUAUAAGUUUGUAACUAAUAUAACUUAUCACUAAUCAUUGUAAUUUGUAAGUUUGUAACUAAUAUUACUUAUUAUUAAUCAUUGUAAAUUAUGAAUUUAUAAAUUAUCACUAAUCAUUGUGUUCCUUAAAUCAUAGACUAAGGAUUCUAGGUAUAAGUUGUCAAAUAAGUUAAAAUUCAUAUUAUCUAUUUACUAAUUUUAAGGUUUUAAGUAUAGACAAGACAACUAAAUAGUAUAAGUGAAUGCAUGUGAAUUGCAAAUUAGUGUAUUAGUGUAUUGACUUUCACAAUAACAUGUGUAAGUAAAUAAGUUUUUAUUUUGAUUUGAAAUAAAUUAUAAGUUUGUAGCUAAUAUAACUUAUCACUAAUUAUUGUAAUUUGUAAGUUUGUAACUAAUAUUAUUUAUUAUUAAUUACUGUAAAUUAUAAAUUCAUUGUAACUACUAACUAAUAUUACUUAUUAUUAAUCAUUGUAAAUUAUAAAUUCAUAAAUUAUCACCAAUCAUUGUAUAGUUUAAGGUUUAUUCUAGUUUAAAUUAAUAGAUAAAUUAUUAAUUUUUUUAAUAGAUGAAUUCGGUUUAACCGAAUUCAUUACCGUUUUCGAAUUUGAAAUCGGUUGCGGUAUGAAUUUGGUUAUGGCUAAUUCGGAAUUGAAAACGACUUAGAUUUCUAUAGGUAGAAUAACUGAAUUCACCGAAUUCAGUGCACCGAAUUACGGAUUUUGCACCGAAUGCACACCCCUAGUUAUAAUCACCCAUAUCCAUGUUCAAAGAAUAAUUCUCCUAAUAUGAUCAAGCAAAUGAACUAACUUAUUUUACAAUUUCUUAAAUGAAAUGCAAUGUUAAAUGAUAUGAUUAACACAUAUAGAGGAUAGGGGAUAAUAUAAUAGGGAAUAUCAUGCAAAUGAGAAAAGAUCCUAAAAAUGAAAAUAUACAUGAAAAUGUAAUGAAUAUCACACAAAGAUGAAUCUAAUACAUAAACAAUCUAAGGGUCUAGCGUUGAACUAGCUCAUUUCUAAAAGUCCUUAUUAGCGUUGGACUAGCAAAUAAACGGAGGGAGAAGCCACAACUAGCGUUGGACUAGUAUGAUGACGUCAUGCAUUAAUAAUACAUAAUAAAACAAAUAAGGCACAAAUUAAAACAAAUAAACACAUAAAACCACAUAACACGUAACACGUAAAUAUAAUAUCUAGAUACAAAAAUCUUAGGAAAAGCGGAUAAAGCAUAUAACACAUAAACCAUAUAAACACACAACCUACCUAUUACAUCGGAGAGCCUAACUACAAUCUAAAUGGGAAAGUAUGAAAUAAACCUACCUAUCAUAUCUAUUACAUUGGUCUAUCUAAUUACAAUUUUUGUAAAAAAAUAUUACCUAUCUAUUAAUCUUGAGGUAUUUAAACACCUCUCAAAUAAUUAAAAAAAAUUAACUAAACAAACAUUAAAAAAUUAGAAUAAACAUUUGAAUCAAAUAAAUAACAAAACAUAUAAAAAUAUAUAGACACAUAAGAGCAUGUAAGAGCAUAUAAGAGCACGUAAUUGACAUUUAAAUGAUAAUAGAGGUACAUUCAUUUUGAAGUGGUGACUAAAUGGAAGUCAAAUUGCCCUAUUUAUACUCAAAAUGAACAAAACAACCAUGGUACCAAUUUAAUUGAAAAUAAUAAUAAUGAUAAAAAUACUAAAUUCACAUUAAUAUAUCAAAUAUAAAGAAACUUAAGAACAUCUAAAAAUUACAAGUUAAAUAUAUUUAAAAGUAAUAUAAUUAACUAUUAAAGAAAAAAAAUAAUCGUAAUAAAGAGAGUCAAACUUUACUAUGGACUAAAUUGUAAAAAUCAAAAAGUUUUGGAGUCAAGAAUAUAAUUUUUCCAAAAUUUAAGGGUUAAAAUUAAAUAAAAGAUAAAGUUUAAAGGCCAAUGUGCAAUUAUUUUAAGUACCUAAGUGAAAGAAAUUUAAAAUAUUCUGGGCCAAAACAAAAUUACUCCAAAGAUCACGGGCUAAAGUGCAAAUUUGAUCUUUGCCUUGUGUAAGAAAAAGGCCAUCAGGCCAUCAUUUUAUUUCUUUGGGCCAAAACUACCUAAACCCAACUAAAACCCAAAAGAAAUAAGCAGUCCAGCCCAUCCUCUUAUCACUCAAGCUCGACAAAAAAAUGCAUGGAUUCUGAUCUUCUAACCCAACCCAAACGCAAAAGAAAUAAACGAAAACCCAUUUCCAAAACCCAAUCCAAAAAUAACCACAAGCCCAUAAAAGAAAAAAAAACACUAGCCCAAUCCAUUUUUCUUUUUUUCUUUUUCUUUCUUUUCUUCCGUUUCUCCUUCUUCUCGUUUGGCAACUUGAAGCCCCUCACCACCGCCAGCCAUGGCUGACCUGGCGGCUGCCGGCGCCAGCGCCACCGGUCACAGGCAAAUUUUUUCCGGUCGCAAAAUUUCACAAAAAUACACUCCGUUACUCGAUUUUUCGCGUAGAAUCUGUUUUCGAAGUUAAUUUUUACAAAAAAUAACCCAAAAGUGGCCAAAAUACCCAGCCCAGUUUUUUAUUUUUUAAAAACACUAUAAUCACCACUAAAAUUUAUGAAAUUUAUACCACAACACUCCUUACAACUUCUACAAUACAAUUAUGAUUUUAAUUUGACAAGAAAACAACAUAAAAGGGCUAAAAUAAAGCAAAACAGCCCCUAAAAUUCAUUUUUUCCAUUUUGGCAUUUUUUCAAACAGUUAAAUGCAUACAUAAAAAACAUUUCCUUUUCCUCAAUCUAGUUCAUGUCAUUUCCCAAAUUUCAGCAAUACAACAACAACAAUAAAAACCAGCAAAAGCGAGAUAAAUUAAAACCAAAAUGUAUCUAAUAUGCCUUAAAAAAAUCUGGAAAAUACCUCAAUGAAAGUGGAAUUGCCUUGGCUGAAGUUUUUCUGAUGCCUAUGAGUGUGUUGGAAAAAUAUUGGGAAAGAGAAAAGGCCGAGGGAAAUUUUCUUCUUCUUCCGUGUUUCUCUUCUGCGUUCCAAGCCAAGAGAGAGUCCCCCCCUUUUUCUUCUUUUUGUUCGUUAAGAGCCAGCCGAGAGGGAGGAAAAUUUUUUUUCUUCUUUUCUGUUUCUUUCCGCUGCCCAAGUCCGAGAGAGGGAGAGAGUGAGGAGUAAGAGUGGAGUGUUUUUCUUUUUUGGCUCGU
rnacentral:lncRNA from 1 species